rnacentral:rRNA from 1 species
GGACUACCAGGGUAUCUAAUCCCGUUUGCUCCCCUAGCUUUCGCGCCUCAGCGUCAGAAGAGGUCCAGCACGUCGCUUUCGCCACCGGCGUUCCUGAUGAUAUCAACGCAUUUCACCGCUCCACCAUCAGUUCCACAUGCCCCUACCUCCCUCGAGCGCAUCAGUAUCAAAGGCACUUCUCCAGUUAAGCUGAAGUAUUUCACCCCUGACUUGAUGCGCCGCCUACGCGCCCUUUAAGCCCAGUGAUUCCGAACAACGUUCGCUCGGUUCGUCUUACCGCGGCUGCUGGCAC